UUGCCUGUUUCAUAAUUAUUAGAUUUAUUAGAACCUUUGUAUAAGGCUAACAGGAUAGGAUAAAAAGAAGUAUGGAAAUGAGUGAUAUUCUGUACAAAAAAAUCUAUUAAUUUCAGAUAUCUUUUGUAUACAUAUAAAAAUACACAUGACGGAAUAUGAUAACUGAAACAAACGAUCAAUCUUAUAAUAACCAGACUUAAUACAAGUGAACCAUUCAGCAAAUUAAAUAUCUGUUAUCAAAAUAAAGUUGGGGGCCGAUCCGGAUUUCAUUUGAUUGUUUUUUAAUGUGUCACAUUUCUCCUCAAUUUCUCUGAUAUUAUUACAUACAAAUAUAUCAUAUAUUAUUUACAUUGCUAUUAACGUGUUUUGUUUUACUUUAGUGUUUUAAACGUGUUAUACAAACUGACAUUAUCACUACUACUUCUAAAUUACGUAUGAUCUUUUAAUUUCUUGUAACAUGCAUUCUUAUAUGUCAUUUUAGGCUGCAGUUUAAUUCUGUAUGUGGUAAACAUUUGGGCCUACCGUGAGCCGAAAGUAUGCUAAGCGUUUUUACCGCCAAGUAAUUCAAUACACUGUCACGGCAUAUACUUCAAGUAUGUGAGUUUGAAAUUAAACAGAACGUGAGACAGAGGAACAAUGUAGAGGUAAUAUUCUGUACAACACAAUCAAUUUAUUUUUGAUUUUCUUACUGCAGUGUCAAGUAUCAGCAGUAUCUAUAAAUAUACUCUAUACACAUGUAUGACGGAAUACAAAAAACAAACGAUCAAUCUCAUGAUAAUCAGACUCUCAUCAAGCAGUAAAACAAGUGUGAUAUUUAUAGGUCUUCCGUGUUUAGUAAAAAUCUCUGUUAGUCCUUUGCUACUUCUUACAACGACAGCACUUCAGAUUUAAUCCUCAUCUUUACUCAUGUUGUUGAACUGUGUAUGGGUCCACAUGCGUCAGUCUAAUGCACAUAGCCUCCCAAUCUGCCAUAUCCGCCGAGUCCGUGCCCUCCGUUGCCAAGACCUCCGUAGCCAAGCCCGGAAGAUCCGUAGCCAAGCCCGUUUCCUCCGUAUCCAAGUCCGUAUCCUCCGUAUCCAAGUCCGUGUCCGUAUCCUCCUCUGUAUCCA